rnacentral:rRNA from 1 species
GAUGAACGCUGGCGGCGUGCCUAAUACAUGCAAGUCGAGCGAAUGGAUUAAGAGCUUGCUCUUAUGAAGUUAGCGGCGGACGGGUGAGUAACACGUGGGUAACCUGCCCAUAAGACUGGGAUAACUCCGGGAAACCGGGGCUAAUACCGGAUAACAUUUUGAACCGCAUGGUUCGAAAUUGAAAGGCGGCUUCGGCUGUCACUUAUGGAUGGACGCGGGUCGCAUUAGCUAGUUGGUGAGGUAACGGCUCACCAAGGCAACGAUGCGUAGCCGACCUGAGAAGGUGAUCGGCCAAACUGGGACUGAGACACGGCCCAGACUCCUACGGGAGGCAGCAGUAGGGAAUCUUCCGCAAUGGACGAAAGUCUGACGGAGCAACGCCGCGUGAGUGAUGAAGGCUUUCGGGUCGUAAAACUCUGUUGUUAGGGAAGAACAAGUGCUAGUUGAAUAAGCUGGCACCUUGACGGUACCUAACCAGAAAGCCACGGCUAACUACGUGCCAGCCGCCGCGGUAA